rnacentral:rRNA from 1 species
AGAUUAAACUGAAGAGUUUGAUCCUGGCUCAGAUUGAACGCUAGCGGGAUGCCUUACACAUGCAAGUCGAACGGCAGCACGGACUUCGGUCUGGUGGCGAGUGGCGAACGGGUGAGUAAUGUAUCGGAACGUGCCCAGUAGCGGGGGAUAACUACGCGAAAGCGUAGCUAAUACCGCAUACGCCCUACGGGGGAAAGC